AGACACUUAUUUGAUACAUAUACUGCAUUAAUACAGGGUUUGUGCUGUGAUAUACCUUGUCUUUCAAAAGUGCUUCAAUCGGCACAGAAUUAUCCAUCCAAGAGUUAUCCCCUUUGGACCUUGAUGAGCUGCAGGAAAGCGCUGUUUGCUGGAGGUGGUGGCAGUCACUGCGUGAGGUGUGCUGGAGGUGGCAGUUGCUGCAGGACGGGCUAUGUCCUGUCGAGGUGUCUGUAAAAUACAGGAAAGCGCUGUUUGCUGCAGGUGGUGGCAGUGCUGGAGGUGGCAGUUGCUGCAGGGACCGGCUAUGUCCUGUUGAGGUUUCUGUGAAAUACAAGUGAUUUCCAGCUUUGAAGUUUGUAUUAACAUUGCAUGUGUAUGAACAACCAUGGCUGUUUAAAGUCACCUUAACCUACCCAUCUUUCGAGAAUGUACUGCCUGAAGCGCUUCAGGGACUUAGUGGUGAUGUCGUCCUCCUUCAUAACAAGCCGCUGUCUGAUAGAACAGUAAGCCUCCUGAGCCAUCUUUCUCUCGUGGUCAUUCCCCGCUUGAGGGACAGCUUGAAGGCGCUUGUGCACACUGCAUCACUGCCACAUUUCUUGAAAUGUAAAAGACCUGAAGCUGGCCCUGUUUACGUACAUUUCAAGAUGGCAGGAGACCGGAGGGAAUAGCUGCACAUAUUUAAAGAGGUAAGCUCUACCCACUCGUUAUUAGUGGCUCUUCUCUCAUGUUGGCUGUGUUUGAUCUGGCAAUCAAGGAUACUAAAAUAUGACAAAGAAAACAUAAUUAAUUUAUGACAAACAUUGUGAACAUAGUUUGAUUCUGUUUAGUGCAACAAGCUUACUAUUUAAUGUAUCCAACAUCAUUUUCCACCAGCCAUUUGAAAGUUUUGCCUUUUGUAUUUGCCAAAUGUGAUGAUCAGCUGCCCCAGAUACUGCCUUUUGAUAGAUAACACGCAGGCACAGAAGCUCUAGUGCACAACAGUAGGUUAUCAUGACUUGACUGCGGUGGGAAAACAUCUAUGACCCUACUGCCAAGGUAUUAGCUUUGUUAUAAGCCGCCCUCUCAUGUAUGGGUGGAUAGAUGUACCUGGGGUCGUUUGUGAGGUUAAUGGUGGAGGUUUGGUGAUGGUGAAAGUGACCUUUAUGUUCUCUCACUGGCAGUGGUAAUGUGGCAUCAGUGCAGACAUAUGUUGUAAUUGUAACAGAGCCUUUGGAACAGGCAUCAAAGAGUCUGUUCUUUCUUUUUCAGGUAGUCAGGUGGAGGGAGGACUGAAGGCUGGCACGGUGCUAUCUGAAGAUAUUGAUGUGAUCUUUGAUAUGGUGGCAGAUGGCAUUUUUGUUGCCUGCAAGUUGAGGAGCCUCUCUUGACAACGGAUAAAAUCACAGACAGUUUUAGUGUUAAUUAUGGGUAGAGAAACACCCAGUUUGCUCAGCACUGGAUCCUCUGCCAAUAUGGUAUGUUGAACUCUCUCAUAGGCCUUUGUGAUGUUUCUUUUUUCAGGGCUUGUCUGAGAACUGUGAUGUGACACCAGCCACAGAAGUUUCACAAGGGUGUACAUUAGCUUGUUGUGCUGAGCGCUGAUGUUUUGUUGAGCUGGCGCAUAGCGCUUGGACAUCUUAAAACGCUGAA